rnacentral:lncRNA from 1 species
ACGGAGGUGCCUCGCAAAGUCUCGCGCCAUUCCGAGUCUGGCGGACGAAGUAGGCCAGCACCACCCCCCAAGGCUAUAGCCCACCCGUUUUUGUGGCCUUUUUCCGCUGGAAGAACUUGGUGUCCCGGCCUUCCAGCGGUUAUUUUUGGGCGUGGCUUUGCCCGCGGCCUACUUUUGGCACACGUAGGCCCCUCGCAAGGUCUUGCUGCUUUCCGAGUCCGUCUGAUGAAGUUGGCCAGCCCCACACCCCAAGGCUAUAGCCCACCCGUUUUUGUAGCCUUUUUCAGCUGGACGAACUUGGCGCCCCGGCCUUCGGGCGGUUAUUUUUGGGCGCGGCUUUGUCCGCGGCCGAUUUUUUGCAUACGGAGGCCCCUCGCAAAGUCUCGCGGCAUUCCGAGUCCGGCGGACGAAGUUGGCCAGCCCCACCCCCCAAGGCUAUAGCCCACCCGUUUUUGUAGACUUUUUCCGAUGGACGAACCUGGCGCCCCGGCCUUCGGGCAGUUAUUUUUGGGCGCGGCUUUGCCCGCUGCCUAUUUUUUGCACACGGAGGCCCCUCGCAAAGUCUCGCGGCAUUCCGACUCCGGCGGACGAAGUUGGCCAGCCCGACCCCCCAAGGCUGUAGCCCACCCGUUUUUGUGGCCUUUUUUCGCUGGACGAACUUGGCGCCCCGGCCUUCGGGUAGUUAUUUUUGGGCGCGGCAUUGCCUGCGGCCUAUUUUUGGCACAUGGAGGCCCCUCGUAAAGACUCGCGGCAUUCCGAGUCCGGCGGACGAAGUGGGCCAGCCUCACCCCCCAAGGCUAUAGCCCACCCGUUUUUGUGGCCUUUUUCCGCCGGACGAACUUGGCGCCCCGUCCUUCGGGAGAUAUUUUUGGGCGCGCCUUUGCCCGUGGCCUAUUUUUAGCACACGGAGGCCCCUCACAAAGUCUCGCGGCAUUCCGAGUCCGGCGGACGAAGUUGGCCAGCCCCACCCCCCAAGGCUGUAGGCCACCCGUUUUUGUGGCCUUUUUUCGCUGGACGAACUUGGCGCCCCGGCCUUCGGGCUGUUAUUUUUGGGCGCGGCUUUGCCCGCUGCCUAUUUUUGGCACACGGAGGCCCCUCGCAAAGUCUCGCGGCAUUCCGAGUCCGGCGGACGAAGUUGGCCAGCCCGACCCCCCAAGGCUGUAGCCCACCCGUUUUUGUGGCCUUUUUUCGCUGGACGAACUUGGCGCCCCGGCCUUCGGGUAGUUAUUUUUGGGCGCGGCAUUGCCUGCGGCCUAUUUUUGGCAN